GUGUUGGUCAUGGAUGGGCUUCAAGAUAUAGCGAGGAUAAUGAAUCUGUUGAGAGGAGUCCUGAGGUGGCCAAGCAUGUGAUUUUUUAAGUGGGUCGAGUGGUUAUUUUUCUUAUCUCACUUAUGAAGGUAAUGACGAGUUAGCUUCUGAAGUUGGAGACUUUACUUGAUGAUAGCGUGGGGAAAAAUGUCGAGUUGGAAUUUGAAAGGAGUGGCACGUCUUUGACCGUUCAGUUGGUGGCUGAAGACUUACACUCAAUAACUCUUUCGGAGUUAGGAGUGGCACGUCUUUGUGAUGUACAUU
rnacentral:lncRNA from 1 species